rnacentral:rRNA from 1 species
GGGUUGUGAGGUUAAGCGACUAAGCGUACACGGUGGAUGCCCUGGCAGUCAGAGGCGAUGAAGGACGUGCUAAUCUGCGAUAAGCGUCGGUAAGGUGAUAUGAACCGUUAUAACCGGCGAUUUCCGAAUGGGGAAACCCAGUGUGAUUCGUCACACUAUCAUUAACUGAAUCCAUAGGUUAAUGAGGCGAACCGGGGGAACUGAAACAUCUAAGUACCCCGAGGAAAAGAAAUCAACCGAGAUUCCCCCAGUAGCGGCGAGCGAACGGGGAGCAGCCCAGAGCCUGAAUCAGUGUGUGUGUUAGUGGAAGCGUCUGGAAAGGCGCGCGAUACAGGGUGACAGCCCCGUACACAAAAAUGCACAUGCUGUGAGCUCGAUGAGUAGGGCGGGACACGUGGUAUCCUGUCUGAAUAUGGGGGGACCAUCCUCCAAGGCUAAAUACUCCUGACUGACCGAUAGUGAACCAGUACCGUGAGGGAAAGGCGAAAAGAACCCCGGCGAGGGGAGUGAAAAAGAACCUGAAACCGUGUACGUACAAGCAGUGGGAGCACGCUUAGGCGUGUGACUGCGUACCUUUUGUAUAAUGGGUCAGCGACUUAUAUUCUGUAGCAAGGUUAACCGAAUAGGGGAGCCGAAGGGAAACCGAGUCUUAACUGGGCGUUAAGUUGCAGGGUAUAGACCCGAAACCCGGUGAUCUAGCCAUGGGCAGGUUGAAGGUUGGGUAACACUAACUGGAGGACCGAACCGACUAAUGUUGAAAAAUUAGCGGAUGACUUGUGGCUGGGGGUGAAAGGCCAAUCAAACCGGGAGAUAGCUGGUUCUCCCCGAAAGCUAUUUAGGUAGCGCCUCGUGAAUUCAUCUCCGGGGGUAGAGCACUGUUUCGGCAAGGGGGUCAUCCCGACUUACCAACCCGAUGCAAACUGCGAAUACCGGAGAAUGUUAUCACGGGAGACACACGGCGGGUGCUAACGUCCGUCGUGAAGAGGGAAACAACCCAGACCGCCAGCUAAGGUCCCAAAGUCAUGGUUAAGUGGGAAACGAUGUGGGAAGGCCCAGACAGCCAGGAUGUUGGCUUAGAAGCAGCCAUCAUUUAAAGAAAGCGUAAUAGCUCACUGGUCGAGUCGGCCUGCGCGGAAGAUGUAACGGGGCUAAACCAUGCACCGAAGCUGCGGCAGCGACGCUUAUGCGUUGUUGGGUAGGGGAGCGUUCUGUAAGCCUGUGAAGGUGUGCUGUGAGGCAUGCUGGAGGUAUCAGAAGUGCGAAUGCUGACAUAAGUAACGAUAAAGCGGGUGAAAAGCCCGCUCGCCGGAAGACCAAGGGUUCCUGUCCAACGUUAAUCGGGGCAGGGUGAGUCGACCCCUAAGGCGAGGCCGAAAGGCGUAGUCGAUGGGAAACAGGUUAAUAUUCCUGUACUUGGUGUUACUGCGAAGGGGGGACGGAGAAGGCUAUGUUGGCCGGGCGACGGUUGUCCCGGUUUAAGCGUGUAGGCUGGUUUUCCAGGCAAAUCCGGAAAAUCAAGGCUGAGGCGUGAUGACGAGGCACUACGGUGCUGAAGCAACAAAUGCCCUGCUUCCAGGAAAAGCCUCUAAGCAUCAGGUAACAUCAAAUCGUACCCCAAACCGACACAGGUGGUCAGGUAGAGAAUACCAAGGCGCUUGAGAGAACUCGGGUGAAGGAACUAGGCAAAAUGGUGCCGUAACUUCGGGAGAAGGCACGCUGAUAUGUAGGUGAAGUCCCUCGCGGAUGGAGCUGAAAUCAGUCGAAGAUACCAGCUGGCUGCAACUGUUUAUUAAAAACACAGCACUGUGCAAACACGAAAGUGGACGUAUACGGUGUGACGCCUGCCCGGUGCCGGAAGGUUAAUUGAUGGGGUCAGCGCAAGCGAAGCUCUUGAUCGAAGCCCCGGUAAACGGCGGCCGUAACUAUAACGGUCCUAAGGUAGCGAAAUUCCUUGUCGGGUAAGUUCCGACCUGCACGAAUGGCGUAAUGAUGGCCAGGCUGUCUCCACCCGAGACUCAGUGAAAUUGAACUCGCUGUGAAGAUGCAGUGUACCCGCGGCAAGACGGAAAGACCCCGUGAACCUUUACUAUAGCUUGACACUGAACAUUGAGCCUUGAUGUGUAGGAUAGGUGGGAGGCUUUGAAGUGUGGACGCCAGUCUGCAUGGAGCCGACCUUGAAAUACCACCCUUUAAUGUUUGAUGUUCUAACGUUGACCCGUGAUCCGGGUUGCGGACAGUGUCUGGUGGGUAGUUUGACUGGGGCGGUCUCCUCCUAAAGAGUAACGGAGGAGCACGAAGGUUGGCUAAUCCUGGUCGGACAUCAGGAGGUUAGUGCAAUGGCAUAAGCCAGCUUGACUGCGAGCGUGACGGCGCGAGCAGGUGCGAAAGCAGGUCAUAGUGAUCCGGUGGUUCUGAAUGGAAGGGCCAUCGCUCAACGGAUAAAAGGUACUCCGGGGAUAACAGGCUGAUACCGCCCAAGAGUUCAUAUCGACGGCGGUGUUUGGCACCUCGAUGUCGGCUCAUCACAUCCUGGGGCUGAAGUAGGUCCCAAGGGUAUGGCUGUUCGCCAUUUAAAGUGGUACGCGAGCUGGGUUUAGAACGUCGUGAGACAGUUCGGUCCCUAUCUGCCGUGGGCGCUGGAGAACUGAGGGGGGCUGCUCCUAGUACGAGAGGACCGGAGUGGACGCAUCACUGGUGUUCGGGUUGUCAUGCCAAUGGCACUGCCCGGUAGCUAAAUGCGGAAGAGAUAAGUGCUGAAAGCAUCUAAGCACGAAACUUGCCCCGAGAUGAGUUCUCCCUGACUCCUUGAGAGUCCUGAAGGAACGUUGAAGACGACGACGUUGAUAGGCCGGGUGUGUAAGCGCAGCGAUGCGUUGAGCUAACCGGUACUAAUGAACCGUGAGGCUUAACCUUACAACGCCGAAG